rnacentral:rRNA from 1 species
GACGAACGCUGGCGGCGUGCUUAACACAUGCAAGUCGAACGGAAAGGCCCUGCUUUUGUGGGGUGCUCGAGUGGCGAACGGGUGAGUAACACGUGAGUAACCUGCCCUUGACUUUGGGAUAACUUCAGGAAACUGGGGCUAAUACCGGAUAGGAGCUCCUGCUGCAUGGUGGGGGUUGGAAAGUUUCGGCGGUUGGGGAUGGACUCGCGGCUUAUCAGCUUGUUGGUGGGGUAGUGGCUUACCAAGGCUUUGACGGGUAGCCGGCCUGAGAGGGUGACCGGCCACAUUGGGACUGAGAUACGGCCCAGACUCCUACGGGAAGCAGCAGUGGGGAAUAUUGCACAAUGGGCGGAAGCCUGAUGCAGCAACGCCGCGUGCGGAAUGACGGCCUUCGGGGUGUAAACCGCUUUCGCCUGUGACGAAGCGUGAGUGACGGUAAUGGGUAAAGAAGCACCGGCUAACUACGUG